CCUACGGGAGACUGCAGUGGGGGAUAUUGCACAAUGGGGGAAACCCUGAUGCAGCGACGCCGCGUGUGGGAAGACGGUCCUCUGGAUUGUAAACCACUGUCGCCAGGGACGAAGAUGACGGGACCGGGGGAGGAAGCGCCGGCCAACUACGUGCCAGCAGCCGCGGUAAUACGGAGGGAGCGAGCGUUGUCCGGAAUGACGGGGUGUCAAGGGAGCGUAGGCGGGACUGCAAGGUGGUUGUCUAAUCUACCGGCUCAACCGGUAGCCGCACGCCACACUGCCGUUCUUUAGUGCAGUAGAGGCCGGCGGAAUUCCUCGUGUAGCGGUGAAAUGCGUAGUUAUUAGGAG
rnacentral:rRNA from 1 species